CAGAGCAGGUCACUCAAUCAACAGUCGAAUUGUGGCUCCGAAUUGUGCUCAGAUAAGUCGUAUCGAUUCGACUUUUGAUUGAUAUAUAAGUUGCUUUUUAUACUAAACUGGCCAAAAGCGCACACGCGCUGCUGUGCUGUUUAUUUGAUUAGGGCACCGCAUAAAUCCUCGUAAAUGAAGUUGUUAAUUUGCAAUUUUUCAUGCCUACCGCAUGACAUUUAGCACGGCUACCCCCGAUCGCCCACGCCCGCCCGUGCAUCUGGCCAACAUGGUUAUCUUUUGCAUACGCCAGCCGUACAUCAAUGACACACAGGUGAGCAGACACUGCCGUAAAUAUCCACGAAGGCAGGCAAUAUGUUUACACGCACACGAUUUCAGCGCCUGAGCGGUUUUAGGUUUCCGCAUUUGGUCUUAGCUCUUGUGAUUUGGUACCGCAGCCGCCUCUGCGCUGCAGCCCAUUCAAUGGAUCAUAAAUUCUCCGAUGCGUCGUAAUUCUUCAACCGAGCUCUCCGAAACGGGGGCCGGAAGGAGCGACAGCAGCGCCAGGAGCUACAAGUUAUUCGGCUUAUUGGCGCUUAGCAGAAGCGAUUUGGCUAAUAGUUGGCAAAACUUUUGCAGUCUGCAGUAAAAGACAUUCAACUUCCACUGAGCUAAAUAUUGAAAUUGUCAAAACUUUGCAAGCUGCUUCAAUAUGCUACUGCUUACUCAACUCAACACGAGAAAAAAUAGCGAAAACUUAAAAGCUUCGGCAAUUAUAACACGGUUCAUCCAAGCGCAUAUUUCGAAACUCCUUUCGGACCAUGAAAAGUACAAGAUUUUAUUUGAUUUUUUUUUUGUGAAGGACUCCAAUAUGAUGGCUUGACUAAAUUAUGUGAUUUAUAUAGUAUUGUUUUGGGUCGCUUCCUUAACACAAAAAAAAAAAAAAUGGAAAGGAGUGAAGAAUGGAAAGUAAACCGAAAUUUAUGUGUUCGUCGCAACUUUUGCGAUUAGUUUUUAGUUGGUUGCGUGUUGCCAAGCUUAAUGUGCGGCAGCGUGUUAAUAAAUUUGCCGCAGGAGGAAUCCAUAACCAAAAACAGCUCGAGAAUAGUUAAAAUUUGCGUUGAAGGCGCUUAACUAAUUUGAAAUUAAUUAAGAGCCUGUCACGAGCAGAUGAAGGGUGAUGAGUGCCAGGGGCGUGGCACGGCACAUUCAGCGCGAAGCCAUAGCUAUUUUACACGCGCCACGUAUAUGUGUGUGUUAAGUAUACGCACUGUACGCCGUUGACGCCAUUGACGAUGGAAAGAAUUUCAUCUGCCGGAAAUUACCAGCGCAUAACAAUAACGAAAAUUUGAAAGAGAUAAAAGACGUACGUGGGCC